GUGACAGUGUUUACCAGAGAGCCCUUCCCUGGGACAGAGGCCUGACCAACCAAGCAGUUGGCUUCCCAGCAACGCCCCGGGUCUGAAGGGAGGCCAGCUCUCUGCGCUCAUUUGGGUGGCUUGUUUAUUUCCACACGUUCCUGGUUUAGUUAUCAUCACCACCUUUUGAUCGUCUCUUAAUGGGCACCGUAGAAGACACCUGUCCAUCUUACCAAGAAUAUUCACCAAAGGCCACGGAGCCAGCCUCGGCCAAGGUGAACCACUGGUAGAGCCAGUCCUACUCUCCAGCCACCCACCAUGUCUGCUUUCAGAAACUUUCACAAGUUCCUAAAAAAGUUAUGGGGUCUAAGCACCAGCCCCCGCUGCCUAAUGGUUUCAGGACCUUGCUUUGAGAAACAAGCUGCAGCCUGGACAAGCUCGGAGUCCACCCUGGCUCCAGACUCCUGCUGGCGUCUGGGUCCUUCUCUCACUGACGUCAGCUGAACUGACCCCCAGAUUCUGCCGGGUUAUUUCCCAAUGCCUUCUACUCAGUCCUCCCUGAGAUCGUAUUCCGAGGAGGUCCGAGCAGAAAGUCUUCCAAUAACUCCACGAACGCCCGCGAACACAAGAGCCCAGGAUGUCUUGCGGCCAGCCUCCCCUGGGUGGACGCCCCGUGGCUGUGCUGCACCCACACCUGCUCUGGUGGGGCUGCUGGCCUGUUCACGGGAAGCAGAACGUUCUGUCUUCCACUCUCCCUGUCCUGGCCCUGCGAAGAUUCACCUACUGGGAAAGCUAGGAAAGCCAAGAUGUCUUUGAACUUAACUGUUUUAUGUGUUUUCUUAGCAUUUUGGUCUGGGACAUCUGUCUUUGCUUAAAAGCACAUCUAUUUAUAUCAACAACCGUUUAUAUCGGGUCCUUGGAGACCAAUUCAUGCAGAUGUUGCCUAUUGUGGGUUUUUCCUCCGAUUCACUUUGAAAAAAUGUGGAAUUCAUUACUACCCUGCUCCCUCCCCAAUAAAGUUA